UACGGGAGGCAGCAGUGGGGAAUCUUGCGCAAUGGGCGAAAGCCUGACGCAGCAACGCCGCGUGCGGGAAGAAGGCCUUCGGGUUGUAAACCGCUUUCAGAAGGAACGAAACUGACGGUACUUUCAGAAGAAGGUGCGGCCAACUACGUGCCAGCAGCCGCGGUGACACGUAGGCACCAAGCGUUGUCCGGAUUUAUUGGGCGUAAAGAGCUCGUAGGCGGUUCGGUAAGUCGGGUGUGAAAAACUUUUGGGCUCAACCCAAAGCGUGCACUCGAUACUGCCGUGACUGGAGUUCGGUAGGGGAGCGGGGAAUUCCUAGUGUAGCGGUGAAAUGCGCAGAUAUUAGGAGGAAACACCGGUGGCGAAAGGCGCCGCUCUGGGCCGAUACUGACGCUGAGGAGCGAAAGCGUGGGUAGCAAAACAGGGAUUAGAUACC
rnacentral:rRNA from 1 species